UACGAAGGGGACUAGCGUUGUUCGGAAUCACUGGGCGUAAAGCGCACGUAGGCGGCUUUCUAAGUCGGGGGUGAAAUCCUGGAGCUCAACUCCAGAACUGCCUUCGAUACUGGAAAGCUCGAGUCCGGGAGAGGUGAGUGGAACUGCGAGUGUAGAGGUGAAAUUCGUAGAUAUUCGCAAGAACACCAGUGGCGAAGGCGGCUCACUGGCCCGGUACUGACGCUGAGGUGCGAAAGCGUGGGGAGCAAACAGG
rnacentral:rRNA from 1 species